UUGGCAAUACAGCCGUCUACUACUGUGAUACUAUAUCGUCAGUAACAGCCUGGGUGAAAGAGUUUUAAUUGAGCCAUUUUGGAAGUUUGUACCUUUUUAAAAUGGGCGAUGCCUUGUUACUGUCUAGAGACUGCUGGAUUGCUUUCUGUGAAAAGAGAGAAACUCCCUCACACAUGACGUGCAUGGUGAACUGAGCUCCUGAAGUGAAUGUGCCGGCCUUCCUUUCGGCAUGAACUCAAGAACGUGGACAAAUUUGAGCUGUGACCUCAGGCAUCAUGGAUCUUUCACAAUCAUCAGGGUUCUCACCUAAGUGUUUCAGAUCAUAUCACCUAAUCCCAAACGCAGUGCGCCCACAGAAUAAAUGAGUUUACCUUUGUCUGAAGAGCAGCGAGGUGUGUUAUUGAGCUAUAAAAUCAAAGCCCACCCCCACGCCCGCUAAUCUGGAGUCUAAGUAAGGGCGGCCUUGGCUAAAACACCAGCCAUCACUUCCACAUAAUUAGCCCAGAAGGAUGGAAUUAGCUGCUGACAAGAUAAUUCACUGAGUGCUUUCAUCUUAGCUCCCGUAGCUCCCACUUCAGCGGGAAUCUACAUGCCUUUAGGUGCUUUUAGGCUGCUUUUUUGUCUUUUGCUGUUAAACAACAAUGUUUCAAGUGAGUGACGGUUAUCAAUCAGCGCAGAAGCAAGGGGCGACACGUCGUUCAAACUAUUCCCGGAAGGUUUGACACUGCUGGUUUAAGUCCUAAAUUUUCCAAACACAACACCAAUCAAUGGCUCAUUAUGGAAGGAGAGCCCAUCACCCAUCCUUGUUACACGUCACUAGGCUUGCCUGCACAGUUGAAGCUAUCCAAUACAAGCAUUCCAAAGUACACACAUUGGGGUGGAAACCAUUUUAAAUGUUGCAAAAUCACCAUUCCAUGGCUCACACUGCAAACAAUAAUGCACAUGUUGCUAAAAUAAUACAAAAUGUAAGCAUUAUUAUCAUUGCAGAGGUGGAAUUUUGCUACUAGAUCUCAUUA